rnacentral:rRNA from 1 species
CCUACGGGUGGCAGCAGUCGAGAAUCAUUCACAAUGGGGGAAACCCUGAUGGUGCGACGCCGCGUGGGGGAAUGAAGGUCUUCGGAUUGUAAUCUCUUGUCAUGUGGGAGCAAAUUAAAAAGAUAGUACCACAAGAGGAAGAGACGGCUAACCCUGUGCCAGCAGCCGAGGUAAUACAGAGGUCUCCAGCGGUGUUCGGAAUCACUGGGCGUAAAGCGUGCGGAGGCUGGUUCAGAAGUCGUGUGUGAAAGGCGCGGGCCCAACCCGCGGACGGCACAUGAUACUGCGAGACUAGAGUAAUGGAGGGGGAACCGGAAUUCUCGGUGUAGCAGUGAAAUGCGUAGAUAUCGGGAGGAACACUAGUGGCGAAGGCGGGUUCCUGGACAUUAACUGACGCUGAGGCACGAAGGCCAGGGGAGCGAAAGGGAUUAGAUACCCGUGUAGUC